rnacentral:lncRNA from 10 species
GACUAAGCUCAUGCACUAGGCCCCAACAGACCAAACCAAACAAAACGGAGUUGCUUGUGUGUUAAGAAAACACAUAGGUUCUAGAACAAACCAGAUUUUGUUUUUUUUCCUGCUGCAAAUCUUUGUAACAAACAUUUUUGAUAGCAUAGGUAUCCACCCCAUGAAGUUCACAAUCUUUUAACCAAAUUCAUUUCCUCUUGCCUAGAGACCAUCAAGCUUCACAUCAUCAUGCAACAAAGGUUCCAGCCAGUUCCAGGUGAAGACACCACCCCUGGCCAUCAAGAAGCUACCUUGCCUUCACCAGACAGAGCAGGGUGAGAGUUCCAUGAUCCUCAGUAGAAUUUUUGAGUUGGGUGGAAGUAGUGACUAUAUGAAGCAACUACCACUGAAGGACCAGAAAAGAAUAACGACAAUAUUAAAGAAAACAGCCAUCUUGGAGUCCAGUUAUAUUUUAAUAAAAGAUUUGUUCUCUACCAAUGCCCUACACUGCUAACAGGAAACUGCCUUCUGGAUUUGUGGGAAGUUCACCAGCAGGAAGCGCCAGUGGAAAUUGGGAGGGGUAAGAGUAGGGGAGCAACUUAGGUAUCCCACCAUUUGCUGUGGCACCUAGCAUCUCUUCCUGGGCCUCAACUCUGCCAAAUGGCUCCGAUUUUUCAACUCUGAUAGCAAAAUCUGCUUUUUGUCCCUACAGGACUAGCAAGAGUAGUACCUCCUAUUAUUCAUAAUUUUGGGUUUGUUUGGUCCCUUGGCUCUUCCAUCUUCAGUGUAAUCAUUUACCUUCAUUAAAAA